rnacentral:lncRNA from 1 species
UUGAUCUGUCAGUUUAAGCUUACUAAAUCCGCACUUACUCAAGUAUCGGAGAGCCUUCGGCCGGUACCACAGCGGUGCCCUAAGGUCUUACCGAGCGUUCAUUAUCUUGCAAAUCAUUCUCCCCACCGAGGCCCAAAGCAUACCGAAGGCCCAACAUCACGAAGUUGAGUCAGAAAAGGGCCAGAUCAUUUUUUCGCAUCAACACCAAUGAAAGUUUAUAUGAUUUCUGAAUUUUAACUUUAAUUGAGUCCCUUCUUCUUCCUCCAAUGAUAAGUAAAAAAAA